GUGUGUGUGUCUGUGUGAGAGCAUGUGCGCACACACACACAUACAU
rnacentral:miRNA from 1 species